rnacentral:rRNA from 1 species
UACGUAGGAGGCAAGCGUUGUCCGGAGUUACUGGGCGUAAAGCGCACGCAGGCGGUCUUGUCAGUCUGUAGGGACAGGGCACAGCUCAACUGUGUCAGGCUUAUGGAAACUGCAAGACUUGAGGGCUUCAGAGGGAUGGGGAAUUCCGGGUGGAGUGGUGAAAUGCGUAGAGAUCCGGAAGAACACCAAAGGCGAAGGCACCAUCCUGGGGAGUCACUGACGCUCGGGUGCGAAAGCUAGGGGAGCGAACGGG